CUUAAUCUCUUCAUCUGUCAGUUGGCAAGAAUGAUAAGUGUACCUACUUUGUAAGGUCAUGGAGAGUAUUAAAGGAGUUAAUGUUUGAAAAAUGCUUGGAACACCUAACACAUCACAACCACUGUAUCUGUGUGUUAUAAAUAAAAUUUAAAAAUCUUCUGACACUGUUCAUAAGCUCCAGAGGGUGAGACUAGUGCCUGGAUGUAUGUAGAAAGCACUCUGUGACAUACAAUGAAUAAAAGAAUGAACAACACUGUUGAAUGCUUUACCACUGUCACAUACAUCAUCCUACAGGCAUUCCCAAGCAGAAUCACACCCAACAAUACCUGUUCUGUCCCACAGCAUCUUCUUUGAUUCCAUCCAGGAAUCACUGGGGUUUCUUGGACCCUGGUAACUGUACCCACUAAAGGUCCUCUUCUCUCUGUCAUAAACCCUGGUCCUUGUCAUAAUUGCUGCAGCUCCCAGGGUCUGCACUCAGAUCCUUUUCUUCACAUGAGGGAGAAGUGUCAUCCCCAGAUCUGGGCAUCCACAAAGCAUGAGCUUUGUGGAAAUGUUUCCCUGGCCUGGGGCACAUAGAAGAAUGCAGUGACAGGGCGGGAUUUGUGUAAAUCCUCCAGUCCAUUUACAGACAGCAUGUUCUCCAUUUACCACGGAAUCCAGGAAGGAUCUGAAUAGAAGAGAAAUUAAGCUGAGGAGACACGAUCUGACUUCACUUCUGAUUUUGAGGAACAGUGACACUUUCUUGCUGACCAGGAGACCGGAGAUCAGGCAUGUGAUGAGCACCAGGAGUCCCACAAAGCAGGUGAGGAUUUUGCCCCAGGAGGGGAGGUCUGGGGAGACAAGUGCUAGGUUGAGCCACCUCUGGUUACUCCCCUAGGCUCCUACUGUGCCGUCACUGUGCUCCACAGUUCUUGACACUGGGUUCACCAGCUUUCAUCAUCAUCCAAGACCCUGGGUGCAUGGUUCUCUUUGAUGAGGCACAGCAUCAAGAUAUUCCUUCCCUCCCACCCUGGGCUGGGGCUUCCUUGAGGCUUCCCAGAACUCUCUGUCAAGGAAUCAUUUCUGUGAGGAGAGUACCCUGGAAGUCAAUGAAAUCGAGAAUACAUGUGUGUUUUACAUUUUUAAAUAAAAAUUUUCAAACACACAGAAAAGCAGGACAAUAUCAGAAACAUCCAUCACCUAGAUUUAACAAC
rnacentral:lncRNA from 1 species